rnacentral:lncRNA from 1 species
UUCAAAGAUUUUGAGCCAUAGCUCUGUAAUUUAUAGAGAUGUCUAGAAUUUUUAUUCUUGUGAUUUUCCUACUUCUUUGACAAAAGAAAAAUUUGUCAGAGUAUUUUAAUUCCAACAUCAAACAUAAUGUUGAAACAAUCUGAUUAGCUGUGACUAACUUGAAAGUCCCUGAACACCUUACUAGUUAUGCUCUAGGUUAGAGGCACUGGUUGGGGCCAGUGGAUGAGGACCAGCCUGUCACGCACCAGUGGAUGAGGACCAGUCUGUUACAUACCCGUGGUGGCCUUUGCUGGCAGGGUCUGCCUUGAAGACCCUAGUCUCUAGAAUUUGGUUAAAAUAAAUUCUAAAGUUUUUUUGCUGAAUAUAAAAUAUCACUCAGCAUUCAAAACCAACACUAGUUUUAAUUUUUCAAUCCCAGAAGUUCAGAGCAAAUAACUCCCAUCCUAAUUUCAUUUGAAGAUUGCUAUUUAUUGAUCAGUUUUACUUCCACAUCCCAAGUCUGGCACAUAGGGGAGCAGCCAUAAAUGUUGCUCUGAACUAAAGCCUCUGGGCACAACUUUAAAGCAUAUAAAGGCAGCACAUCAGAGUGAGACACCCUACUGUGCAAGAUCUGGAAGCCCCAAGGGGAGGGAUUUGAUGACUGACUAGAGAAGCCCCAGAGAAUGGCAGGGUGGGAGUGUUGAGGUGGAACCCUGUGGGUGAACGCUGAGGUCAUCAGUAUGGUUCAUAGCCAGAGCUUUCUUGUGCUGCGGACUCCACUAUAACUGGCUCUCCGCUAAUUGUCUCUUGCCCUAAAAGCAGGUUUCUAGAAAGAGGACUGGGGCUGCUGCUCAAUGCCAUUGUCUGUGUGUGGCCAGGUGUCUGGAACUGACCACAAGUGAGAAAAGCAGAAACUUCCCAGAGGGAUUCCCUCCAGGAGCACACUGGGUCCUGGGCUGUCCAGGUGGCUGUGGGAUGCACUUGGGCACUGCCCACGGCUGCCCAGAUUCAAACAUCAUAUAUAUGGAUUCCUACUGGAGAACUGGGAGAUUCAGAUGCAAAGCCAGGAUUGAGGGCCACAAAAGUACACACACUUGAGGUUCCUUCCAGGCUUGUGGAACUGUGAUUAGCACAGUGAGGACUGCUACCCACCCAGCCUUCCCCUGGCUGUGGCCAGCAGCCUGCCUCAGGAGGAAGGUGGGUUUUCUUUCACUGGGUGUGACCAUAGGAAACCCUUGCAAAUGAGUAGUUCUCUGUGUGUCGCAGCCCUGCAGAUUUUUGGUGCCAUUCUCUCUAAAGAACCUCAGGUGUGCUUAGCAACUCAGACGUCAAAAAUUGCAGUGACCUG